GAUGAAGAACGCAGCGAACUGCGAUAAGUAAUGUGAAUUGCAGAAUUCAGUGAAUCAUCGAGUCUUUGAACGCACAUUGCGCCCCCUGGUAUUCCGGGGGGCAUGCCUGUCCGAGCGUCAUUGCCGCCCUCAAGCACGGCUUGUGUGUUGGGCCCCCGCCCCCCGGCUUCGGGGGGCGGGCCCGAAAGGCAGCGGCGGCACCGCGUCCGGUCCUCGAGCGUAUGGGGCUUCGUCACCCGCUCUGUAGGCCCGGCCGGCGCCCGCCGGCGACCCCAAUCAAUCUUUCCAGGUUGACCUCGGAUCAGGUAGGGAUACCCGCUGAACUUAAGCAUAUCAAUAAGCGGAGGA
rnacentral:misc_RNA from 1 species